GUGAACGCUGGCGGUAGGCCUAACACAUGCAAGUCGAACGGCAGCACAGUAAGAGCUUGCUCUUACGGGUGGCGAGUGGCGGACGGGUGAGGAAUACAUCGGAAUCUACUUUUUCGUGGGGGAUAACGUAGGGAAACUUACGCUAAUACCGCAUACGACCUACGGGUGAAAGCAGGGGAUCUUCGGACCUUGCGCGAUUGAAUGAGCCGAUGUCGGAUUAGCUAGUUGGCGGGGUAAAGGCCCACCAAGGCGACGAUCCGUAGCUGGUCUGAGAGGAUGAUCAGCCACACUGGAACUGAGACACGGUCCAGACUCCUACGGGAGGCAGCAGUGGGGAAUAUUGGACAAUGGGCGCAAGCCUGAUCCAGCCAUACCGCGUGGGUGAAGAAGGCCUUCGGCUUGUAAAGCCCUUUUGUUGGGAAAGAAAAGCAGCAGGUUAAUACCCCGCUGUUCUGACGGUACCCAAAGAAUAAGCACCGGCUAACUUCGUG
rnacentral:rRNA from 1 species